rnacentral:misc_RNA from 1 species
UAUCCGUAGGUGAACCUGCGGAAGGAUCAUUAUUGUAUAACCGAGGUGCGAGGGCUGUCGCUGACCCGAAAGGUCGUGCACGCCCGAGUGCCCUCACACACAUCCAUCUCACCCCUAUGUGCACCACCGCGUGGGUCCCCCUUUGGCUUGUUCGGAGGGGGGCUUACGUUUUCACACAAACUUUGUAUGCAGUGUAGAAUGUAUUUUUGUUUUUGCGAUCACGCAAUCAAUACAACUUUCAACAACGGAUCUCUUGGCUCUC